rnacentral:rRNA from 1 species
AGUGAACGCUGGCGGUAGGCCUAACACAUGCAAGUCGAACGGCAGCACAGUAAGAGCUUGCUCUUACGGGUGGCGAGUGGCGGACGGGUGAGGAAUCCAUCGGAAUCUACUUUUUCGUGGGGGAUAACGUAGGGAAACUUACGCUAAUACCUCAUACGACCUACGGGUGAAAGCAGGGGAUCUUCGGGCCUUGCGCGAUUGAAUGAGCCGAUGUCGGAUUAGCUAGUUGGCGGGGUAAAGGCCCACCAAGGCGACGAUCCGUAGCUGGUCUGAGAGGAUGAGCAGCCACACUGGAACUGAGACACGGUCCAGACUCCUACGGGAGGCAGCAGUGGGGAAUAUUGGACAAUGGGCGCAAGCCUGAUCCAGCCAUACCGCGUGGGUGAAGAAGGCCUGCGGGUUGGAAAGCCCUUUUGUUGGGAAAGAAAAGCAGCAGGUUAAUACCCCGCUGUUCUGACGGUACCCAAAGAAUAAGCACCGGCUAACUUCGUG